rnacentral:rRNA from 1 species
AUUGAACGCUGGCGGCAGGCCUAACACAUGCAAGUCGAGCGGAGCGGCGGACGGAUGAGUAAUGCCUACGAAUCUGCCUGGUAGUGGGGGAUAACGUCCGGCAACGGGCGCUAAUACCGCAUACUAUCAGAUGAGCCUUGGGCGGUGUGGCUAGUGGGUGGGUGAAGGGCCUACCGAGGCGACGAUCCGUAACUGGUCUGAGGGGUUGAUCAGUCACACUGGAACUGAGACACGGUCCAGGCUCCUACGUGCGGCAGCAGUGGGGAAUAUUGGACAAUGGGCGAAAGGCUGAUCCAGCCAGGCCGCGUGUGUGAAGAAGGUUGUCGGAUUGUAGAGCACUUUAAUUUGGGAGGCGUUACCAACAGAAUAAGCACCGGCUAACUUCGUGCCAGCAGCCGCGGUAAUUC